rnacentral:rRNA from 1 species
UACAGAGGUCUCAAGCGUUUGUUCGGAUUCAUUGGGCGUAAAGGGUGUGUAGGUGGCGCCGUAAGUCGGGGUGUGAAAUUUCGGAGCUUUAACUCCGAAACUGCAUUCGAUACUGCGGUGCUUGAGGACUGGAGAGGAGACUGGAAUUCAUGGUGUAGCAGUGAAAUGCGUAGAGAUCAUGAGGAAGACCAGUGGCGAAGGCGGGUCUCUGGACAGUUCCUGACACUGAGACACGAAGGCCAGGGGGAGCAAACGGG